AUCAACUUUCGAUGGUAGGAUAGAGGCCUACCAUGGUGGUAACGGGUAACGGGGUGUUAGGGCACGACGCCGGAGAGGGAGCCUGAGAAACGGCUACCACAUCCAAGGAUGGCAGCAGGCGCGCAAAUUACCCAAUCCCGACACGGGGAGGUAGUGACAAUAAAUAACAAUACGGGGUUCUUUCGGAUCUCGUAAUUGGAAUGAGUACAAUUUAAAUCUCUUAACGAGGAACAAUUGGAGGGCAAGUCUGGUGCCAGCAGCCGCGGUAAUUCCAGCUCCAAUAGCGUAUAUUAAAGUUGUUGCAGUUAAAAAGCUCGUAGUUGAAUUUCGGGACCAAUUUGUUGGUCGUGCCUCGGUACGUACUGGUAUUAUUGGUUUCUCCCUUCUGAAGAACCUUGAUGUCAUUAAUUUGGUGUCUUGGGGAAUCAGGACUGUUACUUUGAAAAAAUUAGAGUGUUUAAAGCAGGCAUACGCUUGAAUACAUUAGCAUGGAAUAAUGAAAUAGGACGUUUGAUUCUAUUUUGUUGGUUUCUAGGAUCGACGUAAUGAUUAAUAGGGAUAGUUGGGGGCAUUAGUAUUCAAUUGUCAGAGGUGAAAUUCUUGGAUUUAUUGAAGACUAACUACUGCGAAAGCAUUUGCCAAGGAUGUUUUCAUUAAUCAAGAACGAAAGUUAGGGGAUCGAAGACGAUCAGAUACCGUCGUAGUCUUAACCAUAAACUAUGCCGACUAGGGAUCGGAUGAUGUUAAUUU
rnacentral:rRNA from 1 species